CAUUACUGUAAGAUUGUAGAGUUUUGAGACUGUGUCCCAACAAUGGGCGCGUGCUCGACUCUUACUCUUUCAUUCCACACACCUUUUGUGCACAAUGGGGACGCAAAGUCCCCCUUUUUAUAUUAAAAACCAAAGUAUAUUGCAUGGCUUUAUAAUGCUCUACGGAGCGAAAAAGUAAUAACUUUCAACAACGGAUCUCUUGGCUUUCGCAUCGAUGAAGAACGCAGCGAACGUGCGAAACGUAAUGUGAAUUGCAGAAUUCAGUGAAUCAUCGAAUCUUUGAACGCAUCUUGCGCUCCUUGGUAUUCCGAGGAGCAUGCCUGUUUGAGUGUCGUGAAAUCAUGUCAAUUUCAAUCUUUUUGUUUGAAAUUGGAUGUGGAUGUUGUUGUGCUAUACAACUCAUCCUAAAUGCAUUAGCGGUCUGCCUUGAUCACGUACAAUGUGAUAAGAAAAAAGCAUUGUUGAGAUCGAGUCAAGGUUGCUUCCAACAGUCGAAAGACAUAGCAUAUAAUGCCAUUUGACCUCAAAUCAGGUAGGAUUACCCGCUGAACUUAAGCAUAUCAAUA
rnacentral:rRNA from 1 species